UACAGAGAUCUCAAGAGUUGUUCGGAUUCAUUGGGCGUAAAGGGUGCGUAGGCGGCGCGGUAAGUCGGGUGUGAAAUCUCGAAGCUUAACUCCGAAACUGCAUCCGAUACUGCCGUGCUUGAGGACUGGAGAGGAGACUGGAAUUUACGGUGUAGCGGUGAAAUGCGUAGAUAUCGUAAGGAACACAAGUGGCGAAGGCGGCCGACUGGUCCGGUUCUGACGCUGAGGCGCGAAAGCGUGGGGAGCAAACAGG
rnacentral:rRNA from 1 species